rnacentral:lncRNA from 1 species
CUCUUUACUCACAAACAAGAGGCAAAAGCGCUUUCUCAGCACCUAUCACUAUUUUCACCGCUUCCAAACACAAAAGCUUUCUCAACGUGAAUACUCAUCGUGAUGUUGUAAGCUUCCAAACACAAAAGCGCUUUCUCAGCAAUCCCUCCUCUCAAUCGUAAACUCAGCGAUGACCAAAAUCGCUUCAAAUCGGAUUUCGUUUCUUCUUAUUCUUCGAAGCUAAUCACUCUGUCACAUUAUCACAUUUCGUUUAUUGGGAGCUAAAUCGGAUUUCAUUUCCUCUUCUUCGAAGCUAAAUCGCAAUCUCACUGUAAGUGAAAUCUCUCUCUCUCUCUCUCUCUCCAUUUCGUUUCUCUGAGCUUACAUCGAUGUGCAUUUUGGUGGUUUUAGGUCAUUGUUGUGUUUGAUUAAGUGAUUUUUGCAAAUGUGAUUUCUGAUUUUAGGUUAUUGUUGGUGAAUAUUAAUUAAGAAAUUAGGGUUAAGAGUGAGUUCUUGUUGUUUUUACUUGCACACAGAGUGUUCUUACUGAAAAAUGCAAAUAAAGAAUACGCAAAUAAAGAAUACUUACCUUAGCAAAGUUGAAUUCACAUUUUGAGUUCGUAUUUUGGUGAUUUUAGGUCAUUGUUGUGUUUGAUUAAGAGAUUUUUGCAAAGGUGAUUUCUGAUUUUAGGUCAUUGUUAGUGAAGAUUAAUUAAGAAAUUCGGGUAUAUUCAAUGAUUUUAGGUCUUGUUGUUUUUACUUGCACACAGAGUGUUCUUACUGAAAAAUGCAAAUGAAGAAUACUUACCGGUGAUGGUGACAGAGAGAACUGAGUAUGUGUAUUGUGCGGUGACUAGUUCCCCUUUUGAAUGAGUAAUUAGUUAAGAGUUUUUAGAAUUUUAAAAGCUUUUAAGAUUCAAUGAACAUAUAUGAGUUUGUGUUAUCUUGCUUUUGGAUGAAUUGAAGAAAGUGUAAUGGACAAAUUGAAAGUGAUGCAUCAAUAACUUGUGUAAUUCAACACUGAUUUUUGCCCAAGCCUUUUGGUUUGUUAGACUUAGAUUGGUUUCAUAAGAGCUUUGUAAAUAUUGGUGUCUUAUUAACUUGUGGAGUUUUGUUUAUAUGAACAGAGGUUUUUGAUAAGGUAUCAUGGCUUCUUGAAAAGGUCAGUGGACGUGGUCAAAAUGGUCAGUGGACGUAUUGGGUAAAUACAAGUAAGUUUUACCUUCAUUUAUGUGAUUUGUGUAGAUUCAAAAUGGUCCCAGGAAGUAUUCUUCUUGGUUAUGUGGGGAUUGAAAAUGUUCAAAAGGUUGUGAUUGAAUCAAUACUGAGGAAACUUUCACACACUGUGACAACGGUAUGUUACAAUCUAGCUUCUGUUCUUUUUUU